UCACAGAUGGAGAUUGACAGGGAGACUGACCAAUCACAUCACUGAAUGCACCGUCGCCAUGUGUAUUUAUUGUCAUCUUCAAACCAUCACCUUUCGUUGUCUUACCGCUCAACGUUCCCGACUUUGACGACGAUCUCUCGGACAGGACGAACGCCAUGAGGGGAAAAAUGCUGUUUAUCGGUCUGUUGGUUCUGACGUCAUCAUGUCACGCUUGGUGGAACAAUCAUCAUAGUCAGCAUCAUCAACACACCAAUACUAACACGAAGACCGUGUCGGGAAGCAUUGGAGUUUACAGCGACAACAAAGGUGUGAUUGGUACCAACAAUGGAAACACCUUUCACGGCGGAUACGGCAGCUACAACUCGGAUGUGUUUUCUGUGAACACUGGGACUCAAAACAUGGGUUCUGAAACAAAACGAAAUGUGAAAGCAAAACAGGACAAGCUGAGGUAAGAGAACUGUCAUGACCGUUGGAUACAGCAGGACCACAAGGAAGUGACGGAAACGAUCUGAUCGUUGCCAAGCAACUAGUAAGGCUCCUGAACACCGUUUGGUCUUGAAGCAGGUCACGCAAGGUCGCCUCUACACCCAGACUGUCACGUGACUUGUGUUUGAAUACGAUCCUCGUCUGCUGCUGAAAAGGUCGUCAGCAAUAUCAACACCAUCUUCACACUCAGACGUGCUUGCUGCUUUCUACUGUCCUUAACCUGACCUAACGACCUCUCCUUGAACUCACAUGAUGACCUUAGCUUCUGGCCUUCAACAAUAAAAUGUUUCUUCUCUUUAAAAUUUC
rnacentral:misc_RNA from 1 species